rnacentral:rRNA from 1 species
GACGUAGGGCGCGAGCGUUGUCCGGAUUUAUUGGGCGUAAAGAGCUCGUAGGCGGCUUGUCGCGUCGACUGUGAAAUCCCGCGGCUCAACCGCGGGUCUGCAGUCGAUACGGGCAGGCUAGAGUUCGGUAGGGGAGACUGGAAUUCCUGGUGUAGCGGUGAAAUGCGCAGAUAUCAGGAGGAACACCAAUUGCGAAGGCAGCUCGCUGGGACGUUACUGACGCUGAGACGCGAAAGCGUGGGGAGCAAACAGG